UACGGGGGGGGGGCAAGCGUUGUUCGGAAUUACUGGGCGUAAAGGGCUCGUAGGCGGCCAACUAAGUCAUACGUGAAAUCCCUCGGCUUAACCGGGGAACUGCGUCUGAUACUGGAUGGCUUGAGUUCGGGAGAGGGAUGCGGAAUUCCAGGUGUAGCGGUGAAAUGCGUAGAUAUCUGGAGGAACACCGGUGGCGAAGGCGGCAUCCUGGACCGAUACUGACGCUGAGGAGCGAAAGCCAGGGGAGCAAAGCGGG
rnacentral:rRNA from 1 species